GAGAUAGGGCUUUCCCCUUCGGGGGACAGAGUGACAGGUGGUGCAUGGUUGUCGUCAGCUCGUGUCGUGAGAUGUUGGGUUAAGUCCCGCAACGAGCGCAACCCUUGAUCUUAGUUGCCAGCAUUCAGUUGGGCACUCUAAGGUGACUGCCGGUGACAAACCGGAGGAAGGUGGGGAUGACGUCAAAUCAUCAUGCCCCUUAUGACCUGGGCUACACACGUGCUACAAUGGAUGGUACAAAGGGCUGCAAACCUGCGAAGGUAAGCGAAUCCCAUAAAGCCAUUCUCAGUUCGGAUUGCAGGCUGCAACUCGCCUGCAUGAAGCCGGAAUCGCUAGUAAUCGCGGAUCAGCAUGCCGCGGUGAAUACGUUCCCGGGCCUUGUACACACCG
rnacentral:rRNA from 2 species